rnacentral:rRNA from 1 species
CCCUUAGAUGUUCUGGGCCGCACGCGCGCUACACUGACGAAUGCAACGGGCUUAUAACCUUGGCCGAAAGGUCUGGGUAAUCUCCAAAUUUCGUCGUGAUGGGGAUAGAUUAUUGCAAUUAUUAAUCUUCAACGAGGAAUGCCUAGUAAGCGCAAGUCAUCAGCUUGCGUUGAUUACGUCCCUGCCCUUUGUACACACCGCCCGUCGCUCCUACCGAUUGAAUGGUCCGGUGAAGCGUUCGGACCGUGGCCUUUGGACGGUUCGCCGUCUGUUGGCUGCGGGAAGUUCGUUAAACCUUAUCAUUUAGAGGAAGGAGAAGUCGUANCA